GAUGAAGAACGUAGCUAAAUGCGAUAAGUAAUGUGAAUUGCAGAAUUCAGUGAAUCAUCGAAUCUUUGAACGCACAUUGCGCCCGCCAGUAUUCUGGCGGGCAUGCCUGUUCGAGCGUCAUUUCAACCAUCAAGCCCCCGGCUUGUGUUGGGGACCUGCGGCUGCCGCAGGCCCUGAAAAGCAGUGGCGGGCUCGCUGUCACACCGAGCGUAGUAGCAUACAUCUCGCUCUGGGCGUGCUGCGGGUUCCGGCCGUUAAACCACCUUCAUAACCCAAGGUUGACCUCGGAUCAGGUAGGAAGACCCGCUGAACUUAAGCAUAUCAAUAGCGGAGGA
rnacentral:misc_RNA from 1 species